UUGGGAGACCAGGGGAAGACU
rnacentral:miRNA from 1 species